rnacentral:rRNA from 1 species
UUUCUCGAAAAUAAGAGAUCUAUGAAAAUUAUUUAUUUUUUGUGUCAGAAAAAUUAAAUAAAUUUUUAUAGGGGUGAAACUUUAAUCGAUCUUAUUAAUAUCUAGUAACUUUAGAAAAAAAUUUAGUUUAAUGUAAUUAGAAUAAUUUUAAUUUGAUUUUACUUUUAUAUUUUAAGGGAUGAGCUUUAAAGUAAAUUUACAAUUCUGGAUUUAUUUUAUUUUUAUAUAGGCUUAGAAUUAGUCAUAAAAAAUUGUUAUAAAUUAUAAUAUAAAUUUUACGAUUUUAAGGAAUUUAAUUUAAAAUAAAGUUAUUACAAAAUAAUAGUAUUGAAGAAAUUAUGGUAGUAUAAGUAGAAUUAGAACUAAAUCUUCCUAAAUUUAUUUUCAUAAUUAGUGUAACAUAAGAAUUCGGCAAAAAUAAUUUCCGAAUGUUUAACAAAAACAUUUCCUCUUAGCGAAAGAGGUAAGGCCUGCUCACUGAAUAUUAAAGAGCCGCAGUAUUUUGACUGUGCUAAGGUAGCAUAAUCAUUAGUCCUUUAAUUGGGGACUGGUAUGAAUGGCUAAACGAGAAAUUUACUUUUUUUGUUAUAUAAAUAGAAUUUAUUUUUUUAGUGAAAAAACUAAAAUGAUCUAGAAAGACGAGAAGACCCUAUAGAGUUUUAUAUAGUUACAAAGACAAAUUUUAAUUGAUUUUUACUUAUUUUUCUUUGGCCUAUAAUUUGUUGGGGCGACAUUAAGAUACGAAAAACUCUUUUUAUUUUAAACUUUUAUAGAAGAUUAUUUUGAUCCUUUAAAAAAGACAAUAAGAUAAAAUUACCUUAGGGAUAACAGCGUAAUCUUUUUUGAGAGUUCAUAUCGACAAAAAGGUUUGCGACCU